UUUUUUUAUCAUGUUUGUCUGUGUGAAGUCUAAAGGUGUUUUUAACUCCUUCUAUUACAUCACUUAAUCCAGACUAAAACCUAAUUUUCCAUCAGAUCAGAUUAGAUUAGAUUAGAACAGGUUACAUUGAUUUUAAUUGGUACUUUUAGGAAGGUUCCCUCGAUGAAAUGUUAAAAAUCAAAAGUAUAAAGCCUUUUGAUCAAGCUCGACAACUUUUAUCAUUGAAUUGUGACUUCAAAGAAUCUGUUUUAAAUAAUAAGAUGAUAAAUCAGGAUUUUUUUAUAGAAUUAUACAAAAAAAGAGAUAAAAUAGUUACUUCAGGGUCUCACAUUAUUCAGAUUUAAAAAAUAUAUUGUUCAGGAUGCUUUGAGUCUGUCACUGUUCUUUCAGUAUAAUGACCACAAAUAGGCCUCAUCGUCCCCGUCUCAGGAGGUUUUACACUCUGAAUUAUUCCCCUCAUGAAUAUAACUUUUAAAGAGUCGAUAUGAUCUUCAAUUAGAAGUCCAGUCUUUACAGAAAUGUUUUGAUAAGAUGAAACAAAACCCUAAUUACAUUUACAGAGUUAAUAUGCGGUCUAACAUAUUAAUAACACCAAUAUUUGAUGGUUUGACUCAUUUAAAGCUUUUGUUUUACUGAGAAUAAUGCAAAGACAACAUAUAAAAUAUUGUUUUAUUAAAAAUAUGAUCAUUUUAAAUUUGACACAACCAAUCAGAUAUAAAGUUGUGUUAUGUGAAAAAAAGGGGGGAAAAAAAACAGCUGGAGGAACAUCUCCAUCUAGUUUCCAACAGGUUAGUAACAGGAUCCAGAAACACCAGAGACUAUUCUGGACCUGAGCCUCAAUUAAAGUGGACUGAGGAGAAGAGGGAAACUGUCCUGGAGUCUCCUGAACAAGAAUCUGACCUGCAUCCUCCUCUCUAAAGACUAGAGGGACCACCUGGCUUGUUCUCAGCUCCCAGUCUAAAGCCAGCAUCCCUGAUGGUAUGGGGAGCAUCCGAGUCCAUUCCCCAUCUGUGAAGGCUCCAUUAAUACUGAACAAUAUCUACAGAUUUAAGAGCAACAUCUGCUGCCAUCCAGACAAUAACGUUUUGAGAGAAGACCUUCAUAUUUCAUCAAGACACCAAAAACAGGACUUAGGAGACCCUCAACUGUUGAGUAGCUGAAAUCUUUUCUCAGGUAAGACUGGGACAACAUUUCACUUUCAGACUCCAGGAACUUGGUCUGCUGGGUUCACUAAGGUCUACAGAGGGUUGGUGAAAGAGGUGAUAAAACAUAAAAAUCAGAGAAAGAACAUCCAGAGACUCUGAAUCUUCUCUCCCUACAGAGAAACGUUGAGAUCUUCCUCUUCUGGUUUUCAUCGUCUGCAGCUCCUUGACUCUCCGCUGACCGGUGUCAUCGACCUGUGGAGGUGAGUGAUCUCUUUUAUUUCACUGUGAUCGAUAAAUAAAGAUCCUCCCGCAGAUCAGAGAACAAAGACGAGCCAAGUCCUCGACCUCAGACGCUCUAAUGAUGAUUCACGGUCUUACAGAGUUCAUCUCCUGUUGUCAGAAGAAACACCAGCUGUCAGUGAGUAGAUGACUCUAUCUAAACUUUAUUUGAGACCUCACAGAAAUCAAACAUGAAUGUUGGACUGAUCUUACCGAGGGUUGGUCCCAAACCAUCCUCUGAAAGAAAUGAUGUGUAGAUUCCUCACCUACACCUGCACUUGAGUUCAUGAGCCAGGGACAGUCUGGUGUGUCAGCAGCACCUUGAGCUGACUUGUUAUUAUGGCCUCAGGAGAAAACGUGACUCUGUAAACCUCUUGUUUGGCCUUCAAACAUUUUGACAGAGAGAAAAAAAAGUGAUUAAAAAAGAAAAUAAAUCCUCAUGUUCUUGGGUUUGUUGGCUCACCUUUACCUGAGUCAAGUUCACUUUCAGAGUUUUGGUCUAACUCUUCUCAGACACUAAAGAUUAGAUUUUGGACCAAGGCUUUAGAUCCUCUAGUUCAGAGAUCCAGCCUGAUCCAGCAAAUAUUAGAUCCCCUUUAUCUGGACAGUUACAGCAGCAUGAGUCUAGGGACAGCCUAGGAGAAUCUGGAGAAAUGUCCCCCCAAAAGGAUGAGUGUAUCAUGAAGGCGUCUGUGAAAACCAGGAAACGCUGACUCUGUUUUUUUUUUAACUCACUGAUCAAACUGCAAAAGUUUUUAACCCUUCAGUGUUUCUCUGAAUCUCCCCAGAUCAAACCACCUGUGACCGAAGCUGGAGGAGGGUGUGGGGGGGGACUCUCCAGCCUCUAUUUGGGUUCUCCUCACCCCUCCCUCACCCCCUCCCUAGCCUUUCACUCUUGCUCUGCAGACUCUCUCCCUCUUUCUGUCCAUCUCCCCUCAGUUUAAUCCUCAGCUCUCUGGAGGAGCUUUAGGCCAAGCAGCUGGGGCCCCUGAACGCCUCUUGAAAAGGCAGCCCACUCCAACCAGGAGAGCGAGGGGGGGAAGGAGGGGAGGAGGGGGAGGCGUCCAGACCACCUGGCUCCUGAAACAUAACACACACAAAAAAAUGCAUUGACAUAUGAGACCUGGAUGAGCGGGAGGUGGACUCUGAUUCAGGGAUGAAAAGUCUGAACUGAUGGUUUCUGUUGGACUGUUCAAACUCCUUCCUGCUCAAAGUCUCUCGAAGUUUGGACGUUCUUCAGGUGAAUUUGUAGAAAUGUUUUCAAAGUAAGAAGGAAAGUGUUGUCGUCUACAGAUAGUUUUUUUAUUUGUAAUAUAUCUGUUUUGAUGGGGCGGCUGUAGCUCAGGAGGUAGAGUGGUUGGCCAAUACCCGGAAGGUUGGCGGUUCAAUUCCUCCCUAUCCCAAGUCUGUCCGUUGUGUCCUUGGGCAAGACACUUAACCCACCUUACUCCCAGUGUGUGUCUUCAACUGGUGUAUGAUUGUGAGUGUUGUGUGGUGGUGGUCAGAGAGGCCAUAGGUUCAAACUGGCAGCCACGUUUUCGUCUGUCUACUCCAGGGCAGCUGGUGACUACAAAGUUAGUUUACCACCACCAAGGUGUGACUGUGUGAGUGAAUGAAUGA
rnacentral:lncRNA from 1 species